rnacentral:rRNA from 1 species
AGUGAACGCUGGCGGUAGGCCUAACACAUGCAAGUCGAACGGCAGCACAGUAAGAGCUUGCUCUUACGGGUGGCGAGUGGCGGACGGGUGAGGAAUACAUCGGAAUCUACUUUUUCGUGGGGGAUAACGUAGGGAAACUUACGCUAAUACCGCAUACGACCUACGGGUGAAAGCAGGGGAUCUUCGGACCUUGCGCGAUUGAAUGAGCCGAUGUCGGAUUAGCUAGUUGGCGGAGUAAAGGCCCACCAAGGCGACGAUCUGUAGCUGGUCUGAGAGGAUGAUCAGCCACACUGGAACUGAGACACGGUCCAGACUCCUACGGGAGGCAGCAGUGGGGAAUAUUGGACAAUGGGCGCAAGCCUGAUCCAGCCAUACCGCGUGGGUGAAGAAGGCCUUCGGGUUGUAAAGCCCUUUUGUUGGGAAAGAAAAGCAGCAGGUUAAUACCCCGCUGUUCUGACGGUACCCAAAGAAUAAGCACCGGCUAACUUCGU